UCGUCAUGGUCAUCAUCAUGCUCGUCAUGAUCAUCAUCGUGAUCGUCAUGAUCAUCAUCGUGAUCGUCAUGAUCAUCAUCGUGAUCGUCAUGAUCAUCA
rnacentral:miRNA from 1 species